rnacentral:rRNA from 1 species
GAUUGCAGGCUGCAACCCGCCUGUAUGAAGUUGGAAUCGCUAGUAAUCGCGGAUCAGCAUGCCGCGGUGAAUACGUUCCCGGGCCUUGUACACACCGCCCGUCACACCAUGAGAGUCGGGAACACCCGAAGUCCGUAGCCUAACCGCAAGGAGGGCGCGGCCGAAGGUGGGUUCGAUAAUUGGGGUGAAGUCGUAACAAGGUACC